rnacentral:lncRNA from 1 species
UCAUUAUAUAAUUCAUAACAUUCCAAAACUCAUUUCAAUUCAUAUAAAACAAUUACAUUUCAUCAAAAUAAUCAACAAGGCUUAUGAUUUUCUUAAAAACUUGGCUUGUGCCAAAACUCAUACUCGGGGACACCUUGGCUCGAGCAUCCAACCAAGUCCGCCAAGGAUGUUAAAAUGACAUAUACCCAUAAAACAUGUUUUUACUUUUAAAAUAUAGCCAUUCCUUGACGUUGGUUGAGUUUCAUCCUCACGUGAUGGUUCGGCGUGAAGUGAACUCUAAACUUACCUUAGGAGAUACCCUCCGCACCUCUCAUACUAAGGUAAAAUAUAACGGGGUUUACCGUGCCCCUCUAAUAGGCUGGUCCACGAAAACCCGCCCACUGCAGUAAGCUAAUCAAAUAACCCACUAAAUCAAUAAAAAUUUUGACAGCAUGACAUGGCUAAUAUAAUAUUACCCAGCCUGUCAAGGUAAAACAAAACAGUUUAUAUAAUCCACAAAUCACAAAUCCAGCCAUUCAUGCCAUCACAUUGUCAUAAGCCAUUAAUUCAAACCAUAUAUAUAUAUAUAGAUAACAUAAGUAUUUAGUCUCCACUUACUCAAUUUCCAAAAUCUUCAUUGAAUUGCAAAACAAUUUAUAAAUCUCAUUCAUUUAAUUAUCACUUAACUUAUAAAACAUAAAAAUCUACAAUUUAAGUUCAUUAUUCUUUAAAAUCAUAACAACGAGUAUAAACUACUUUAGAUAGUUAAGAUGAACAUUUGAUUACUCACAAUAACGAGAGUUUGGAGUACUCCUACCCUUGGUCCUCGGGUACGAUAUCUUUACCCUUAUCAGAGGGCUCACCACCUAUACAUAAUGCACGACACGUAAUUCAAUAAAUUUGUGCCAAACUGUUAUAAAACUAUUUCAGGCUCUAUAUGAAUGCAUGAAAUUGGAUGAGAAUUGUUCGAAUAAUCACUUAAAGACGGUGUUCUACAUGGGUUCAAUUAUGAUCGGACUGAAUUUGUAUUUGACCUAACUCGAACUAUACACUAUUGAAUUAACCAAAACAUCCAAUUCAACUUCAAAUAUAUUCAUUACACUUCAAAUAUUCCAAAUACACCAAAGUACCUCAAUGAGCUUGAUUGUGACUUAAUUCAUCAUAACCGAAAUUCAUUCCGAUUCCGAACUAACAUGCUAAUCAGUAAUAACACAAUCCAAUAAAUCCAUCUACAUCAUUAGAAAUCAAAUCCAUCAUCAAUAUGUCAUCUAUAAAAUUUGGCCAAAGAUGGUUGUUGAAGGGCAUGUGAUUUUCUUACUUGUUUUUCAUUCCAAACAUCAUUAAACAACUAAAAACACUAAGAUAUCAUGAAAUCUAGNGCCAAAGAGGGUUGUUGAAGGGCAUGUGAUUUUCUUGCUUGUUUUUCAUGCCAAACAUCAUCAAACAACUAAAAACACUAAGAUAUCAUGAAAUCUAGCAAAAUCCACCAUCAAAACCUCUCUCCCUAUGUUCAGCCAGCAAGUAUUCCCUCAUGAAAACUUGUGUUUCAUCCAUAGAAAAUGAAAAAGAAAGCAUGGGAAAGGUAGAUCUUAAGCUAAAAUUGAAAAAUCUUACCUUUGAUUGCUUUGUUCUUUGAAAUUCAAAAAUUUCUCUUGAAUUUUCCUCUCUAGGGUUUGUUUCUAUUCUUUUCUCUUUGUUCUUUG